GUAACUGUCUCCCUGGGUGCGUGCACAUUAUGUAGGACGAUGCCUGAGAAGCUCUUUGCACGGCGCUUGGCACAUACUAAGCGUGAAGCACUCAACACAACACCUUACUUAUCAGGCCUACCACCCCUGCAGAAGGUUACAGGCUCUCUGCACCUGUGCACGUUAGGAUUCCCAUGGAAGUGGAUUCACCGCGAAGCUUAUGGAGCUUAAGCUUCUGAGCCCCUCCCCAGCCCUAUACUGAACUUUCUCUUUGUAAAUCUGUGUGCUUUUUCUUAAAAGGCACUUCUCAAAUAUUGUAUGCUUCAGGCCCCAUAACCCUUGGAUCCGUCCCUGAGUUGCUGGAGGGCAGAGCAGACAGAAGCUCGCAGAACCCCCUCCUGAGGAGAAAGACCCUGGUGUUUCUGUCUUUUCUUCCCUGGGACUCCACCUGGGACAUCACAGACCCCAUCCGUCCUUCCCCUAAUGAUGCCCCAUAAAGCGAGGCAACUUCCUCGUUCAACCUUUCACAUCAAUUCUCAGAAGCCAGCACCACGAGGGCCCCAUUUUACAGACAAGGAAAGUGAGACCCAAAGAAGAAAGGGGGUUGGACUAAGAUCCUGAGGUCAGCGCCUGGCUGGGGACGGGACGGGACGGUUUUUGAAAGUGACGUAAUCCUUAUCCGGGCAUUUGUUGUCUUUCUCUCUUCUAUGUCGAAAAAGUCGAAGCGUUUAGGUAAUUCCACACUAAAGACCAUGUUUGUACAUUAGCUCUGGGUCUCUUUGGCACCAGCUGGUAUCACCUCCUCACUCCCUGUGCCCAAGGAGGACCCCUUCCUCCAGGCAGCCCUCUCCGAAUACCUCUCCCAGCUCCCCUGGUCUCUGCUGGCGGGUGCUGGGUAAUGUACCACUAAAUGACACACUCUCUCUGCUUUUAUUUCUUAUAAACAUUUAGUCUCACAUUGACAGAUAGUGAAACAACUUCCUGGAGGUAGGAGCCUUGUCCUAUGCCCUCCCGUGACGCCCCAGAAGGGCUGGGUACCAGUGAGGGGAGCAAUAGGGACCUGUGACACCCAUCUUCGCCCAGCCCCCAUUGGUGUUGACUUUCAUCAUGACAUUCCUGACCUCAAUCUGCAGCCUUUGGUCGAGGGAUUGCCUUCUUUGAGAGCAGAGAAACCGCUCCAGUGCUGGCUUCUGACAAGCCAGGGAAUGGAUCCCUGCUCAGCUGCUAGCCAUGUGACCCUGACCAAGUCACUUCCUCUCUCUGAGCCUCACUUUUCUUCUCUAGAAAAGGAGAUAAAUAAUCCUCACCCCCUGAGGGGCACUGAAAGGAUGACCUAAAACGAGGCGCUUUAAGGCAGAGCUUAGCGCCGCGCCCGGCUCCAGGGGGUUCUUCCAAUCUCGGCCUGCUCGCAGCAGGGUGGGUGAGCCGUCUGGAGAUCGGAGCCUGGAGGAAGGAAUCGUUUUCUUCCUCCUGGAUAAAUGCACGGGCGCACAACUGCUGAAUCGGGCACCUGACCUUGAGCAGCUCCAUAACCGGCUUCAUCAAAGGUUCCAACCAGGAUAAUCUGUACGCAUUCCCUGCGUCUGUCGCCCUGCAUUACACAAAGCGACGUUCAAAUUCCAGCCGUACCGCUUGGCUUCUUAUGCAACCCUAGACAAGAGCUUUAACUCCUGUGGGCCUGUUUCCUUGUCUGGAAUGGAAACACGAAGGGGGCGUAGCUCACAAGGAUGUGGGAAGAAUUAAUAAGCAAGGCCGUGGUGCAGAGUGCCUGCACAUACGUGAGCGAGUAGGGGCAGAGCAGCAGAAGAAGCGGUCAAACUCACAGAGGAAGCAGGUGGCAGAGAUCGGCCAGGACUUGCACAGGCCGAGUCCUCAAAGAAGAGCCUCUAACGGGAAGGCUUGUCUGUGAGACGGAUGAGGAAACUGAGGCUCCGAGAGAUUAAGACAUUUCCCCGAGGUCACACAGCUAGUGCACGACAGGGCUGAAAUUCCAAGGAUCCGCACCGCCACUGCCCCUCCCCAUUUCUAAGAGGAAAAUAACCACCGAUGUGAUCGACUGAUUACAGUCACCAGCCCAGCUAUUAAGGGCUUGCUAUGUGCCAAGCACUGUGCUGGGCACGGACAUGAAUGAUCGAGCCAUGCCUAGCUCUUUGACCUGACGUCCUACCUCCUUUCCCCUCAAUCACUGCCUGCCACCCUCCUCACGACCUCCUUUCUGCUCCUUGAACAUGCCAGGUUCUUCGCACGGACUGCUCCCUCUGCCUGGAUGUCCCCCCCCCCCACAUCCCCCCACCAUCCCACCUCAGUGGCUGCUUCCUUCUCACGUGGGUCUUUGCUCAAACGUCACCUCCUCCGAGGCGCCCCCCCCCAACCCCCAAUCUACUGAAACGUAACCUUCCUCCACUCUGCAUCACGCACUCUAUGUCGAGUCUGCCCCGAGUUCUUUCCUUCACAGCACGAGUCAUCGUUUCAAACCGUUCCCUACUAGAUUAAACUCCAUGAGAACCGGGAGUCCUCAUUAAUCCUCACCGUAUCCCCCGUGCCCGGAACAGCACCUGCAACAUAGCGGAGGUUCAGCCGGGGCCACACUGUGCUUUGCCUCCAGCAGGGAAGACUGUGGGCACCACUGUAGAAACCACGGCCGGAGCCGGGGACAAACACGGCCCCCUGCCCACGGAGCGAGCAGGAUGCAAACGAGCAGGGCCUGAGUACAUAGAUGGACAGUUCUCCUGGGAACAUGUGUGGCUGCUCCAGGACCCCCCUCGCCCUCGAUGCCUGCAAACGUCAUUGUAGCCUCCCUAACGCUGCCGCCUCCGCCGUGCUGGCCACCGUGUCACACGCACCAACGGGCCCGAGCGGAUCGCUGCACGCUCGCCAAGGCCUCUGCCCCAGGCUGCCACUGUCGCUGACCCGGCCAAUUGCAAAGGCUUUUCCCUUCCCCUCCAGCCCUUUACUGCCUUUUCUCCCGAUGUGAUCCCUUGAAAACGUAAAUGAGAUGCCUCCCUGUUUAAAACCGCCAGUCG